AAUACAUCGUCUCGUGGUGAACCAGCGGAGGGAUCAUUAAAAGAAGCCGAGAGGCUACUUAUAACCAUCGCGAACUCGUCCAAGUUGCUUCGGCGGCGCGGGGGCCCUUUACCGGGCCGCCGCUGCCCUCCGCCCCGGGAGACCGGGGGCGCGGGGCGCCCGCCGGAGGUACGAAACUCUCAUGUCUUACAGUGGAACCUCUGAGUACGAAGCAAAUAAGUUAAAACUUUCAACAACGGAUCUCUUGGUUCUGGCAUCGAUGAAGAACGCAGCGAAAUGCGAUAAGUAAUGUGAAUUGCAGAAUUCAGUGAAUCAUCGAAUCUUUGAACGCACAUUGCGCCCGGCAGUACUCUGCCGGGCAUGCCUGUUCGAGCGUCAUUUCAACCCUCAAGCCCUGCUUGGUGUUGGGGCCCUACGGCUGCCGUAGGCCCUGAAAGGGAGUGGCGGGCUCGCUACAACUCCGAGCGUAGUAACUCAUUUUCUCGCUAGGGAGGUUGCGGCGUGCUCCUGCCGUUAAAGACCACAUCUUUAACCAAGGUUGACCUCGGAUCAGGUAGGAAUACCCGCUGAACUUAAGCAUAUCAUAGGCCGGAGGAA
rnacentral:rRNA from 1 species